rnacentral:rRNA from 1 species
GAUGAACGCUAGCUACAGGCUUAACACAUGCAAGACGAGGGGAAACGAUAUUGGAAGCUUGCUUCCGAUAGGCGUCGACCGGCGCACGGGUGAGUAACGCGUAUCCAACCUGCCCACCACUUGGGGAUGACCUUGCGAAAGUAAGGCUAAUACCCAAUGAUAUCUCUAGAAGACAUCUGAAGGAGAUUAAAGAUUCAUCGGUGAUGGAUGGGGAUGCGUCUGAUUAGCUUGUUGGCGGGGUAACGGCCCACCAAGGCGACGAUCAGUAGGGGUUCUGAGAGGAAGGUCCCCCACAUUGGAACUGAGACACGGUCCAAACUCCUACGGGAGGCAGCAGUGAGGAAUAUUGGUCAAUGGGCGAGAGCCUGAACCAGCCAAGUAGCGUGCAGGAUGACGGCCCUAUGGGUUGUAAACUGCUUUUAUAAGGGAAUAAAGUGAGUCUCGUGAGACUUUUUGCAUGUACCUUAUGAAUAAGGACCGGCUAAUUCCGUGCCAGCCGCCGCAGUAA